rnacentral:rRNA from 1 species
UGGGGAAUAUUGGACAAUGGAGGAAACUCUGAUCCAGCAAUUCUGUGUGUGUGAAGAAGGUUUUAGGACUGUAAAACACUUUUAGUAGGGAAGAAAAAAAUGACGGUACCUACAGAAGAAGCAACGGCUAAAUACGUGCCAGCAGCCGCGGUAAUACGUAGGUGGCAAGCGUUGUCCGGAAUUAUUGGGCGUAAAGCGCGCGCAGGUGGUUUAGAAAGUCUGAUGUGAAAGCCCACGGCUCAACCGUGGAGGGUCAUUGGAAACUAAUAAACUUGAGUGCAGGAGAGAAAAGUGGAAUUCCUAGUGUAGCGGUGAAAUGCGUAGAGAUUAGGAGGAACACCGGUGGCGAAAGCGGCUUUUUGGCCUGCAACUGACACUGAGGCGCGAAAGCGUGGGGAGCAAACAGG